UGGCAUAUAGCGAGACAGUGAAUACAAUGAAAUACAUAGAAUACAAAGGGAUACAUUGAAACACGAUGAAAAAAGACAGUGCAUACAAUGAAAUACAUAGAAUACAGCGAGAUACAUUGAAUUAUAAUGGAAAAAAAAGAUAAUGAAGACAAUGAAAUACAACGUGAUACGUUGAAAAUACGUUGAAAUAUAUUAAUAGAAAUUCUAGUUGCUCAGUCCCAAACUCCAUCGUCUUUGUUCAAGAACAAACCCUAAUUUCCGGUGAAUCUCAUCAUCCCCACCUCUACCAACACCCUUAUUUUCUUUAAACACAUCACCACUCUCUUCUUGUUCUUGUUUAGCCCAAGACCCAUCAUCAAGAACCUGCGUUUUGAAUACCCUCGACACUUUCUAUGUCUUUAUUGAACCGUGGUUGAUUAGUUUCAAACGAAAAUUUCCAGAAAUUAGAAGAUGAUGGCUCUGAAUCUUUGCAUUGUUGUUGUUACCUAUGGAGAAGAAAUGGGAGUUGUUGGGGAAGAAACAUGGCUUAGGAAUGGGAUAAGAGGGUAUAGUGGAAAUGGGUUUAGGGUUUAAGAAGUAGGUUUUGGAAGGAAGCAAGGUUGAGAGUCGGAGGUGUGAGGAUUUGGAGAUGAAACGAGAGAGCAUUGCGGAUCCCUAGUUAUAUUUUCAGAAAAUGAAGGAAG
rnacentral:lncRNA from 1 species